UAGGGAAUAUUGGACAAUGGGCGAAAGCCUGAUCCAGCCAUGCCGCGUGAGUGACGAAGGUCUUCGGAUUGUAAAACUCUUUUAUGAGGGAAGAACCGCCCGGGGAGGAAAUGCCCUGGGUCUGACGGUACCUCAGGAAUAAGGGACGGCUAACUCCGUGCCAGCAGCCGCGGUAAUACGGAGGUCCCUAGCGUUGUUCGGAAUUACUGGGCGUAAAGGGGGCGCAGGCGGACAGGUCAGUGGAAAGUGGAAGCCCAGGGCUCAACCCUGGAACGCCUUUCCAUACUGCUUGUCUUGAGUUCGUGAGAGGAGAGCGGAAUUCAGGGUGUAGCGGUGAAAUGCUUAGAUAUCCUGAGGAACACCAAUGGCGAAAGCAGCUCUCUGGCACGUUACUGACGCU
rnacentral:rRNA from 1 species